rnacentral:rRNA from 1 species
GGCCUCGGAUCAGGUGGGGAUACCCGCUGAACUUAAGCAUAUAUUUAAAGCGGAGGAUUUUUCCUUUGGGCCCCCCCCGAAACGCCGAUUUGCCCGGGGGGGCACCCUUCCGGGGGCCCGCCAAAUUACCUCUGGAAAUUGAAACCAAAAAAUUUAAUAAAAAUUUCACAUCUGGGGUGGGCAUAAAUAG